UGCUUUGUCCCCUGACUCUUGAGUGUUGU
rnacentral:piRNA from 1 species